AAUUCUCAACCCUUUCAGCCUUUUAUUUAUUUAUUUGGUUGAUGAGGGAUUGGAUGUGGGAGCUUGCGGGCUUUCUCAGAAGUCGGCUCUCCUUAAACGCAUUAGCGGGACCUUUGUUGCCUAGCUUUGGUGUGAUAAUUAUCUAUGCCAUUUGCUCAAGCAGCUUAUAAUGAGGUCAAGCUUCUAAUUAAAUGCAACUUAUGACA
rnacentral:misc_RNA from 1 species